rnacentral:rRNA from 1 species
UACGGAGGGAGCUAGCGUUGUUCGGAAUUACUGGGCGUAAAGCGCGCGUAGGCGGCUUGGUAAGUUAGCGGUGAAAGCCCGGGGCUCAACCCCGGAACUGCCUUUAAGACUGCAUCGCUGGAAUCCGGGAGAGGUGAGUGGAAUUCCGAGUGUAGAGGUGAAAUUCGUAGAUAUUCGGAAGAACACCAGUGGCGAAGGCGGCUCACUGGACCGGUAUUGACGCUGAUGUGCGAAAGCGUGGGGAGCAGACAGG